AACCUGGUUGAUCCUGCCAGUAGUCAUAUGCUUGUCUCAAAGAUUAAGCCAUGCAUGUCUAAGUAUAAACGCUUCUAUACUGUGAAACUGCGAAUGGCUCAUUAAAACAGUUAUAGUUUAUUUGAUAGUACUGAUUACUCGGAUAACCCAAGUAAUUCUUGAGCUAAUACGUGCCUCAACGCCCAACUCACGAAGGGUGGUAUUUAUUAGCUUUAAACCAAUCGGCUUGCCGUUUUUGGUGAAUCAUAGUAACUUUUCGGAUCGCAUGGCUUCGGCCGGCGACAAAUCAUUCAAAUAUCUGCCCUAUCAACUUUGGAUGGUAAGGUAGUGGCUUACCAUGGUGGUAACGGGUAACGGAGAAUUGGGGUUCGAUUCCGGAGAGGGAGCCUGAGAAACGGCUACCACAUCCAUGGAAGGCAGCAGGCGCGCAAAUUACCCAAUCCUGACUCAGGGAGGUAGUGACAAAAAAUAACGGUAGAGCGCCCUCGUGGUGUCUCUAAUUGGAAUGAGUACAAUUUAAAAUUGUUAACGAGUAUCCAUUGGAGGGCAAGUCUGGUG
rnacentral:rRNA from 1 species